AGGGAUAAGUGAUCUAGAUCCUGUCCGAUGGCCAAAUUCAUAUUGGCGCUCUGUGAAGGUUGGCUGGGAUGAGUCAACUUCUGGAGAGAGGCAGCCAAGAGUCUCUCUUUGGGAGAUUGAGCCUUUAACAACGUUUCCAAUGUAUCCAUCUUCCUUUCCACUUAGGCUCAAGCGCCCUUGGCCUUCUGACUUGCCCUCACUACAUGGUGGGAGAGAUGAUCUUAUGUGGCUUCGAGAUGGAGACAGAGCAAUCCAGUCUUUGAAUUUCCAGGGAUUCUGUAAUCAGACGUUUACCGAGUGCUAUUUCAAAAGCUGGAAAUGUGAGUGGC